rnacentral:rRNA from 1 species
CCCGCUGAAYUUAAGCAUAUCAGUAAGCGGAGGAAAAGAAACUAACAAGGAUUCCCUUAGUAGCGGCGAGCGAACAGGGAAUAGCCCAUAACCGAAUCUCUUGGUGUGAUGCCAAUGAGAAAUGUGGUGUUGGGGUGGUUUCUUGUUGUGUAUAAAAUGAUUGUAAGUCCACGUGAUUGUGGCGCUCUGCCCAGAGAAGGUGUAAGGCCUGUAACGAUCAUUUAUGUGCAUGACGCGAAAUUACUCAAGAGUCGGAUUGUUUGGGAAUGCAGUCCUAAGCGGGUGGUAAACUCCAUCCAAGGCUAAAUACAACACGAGACCGAUAGUAAACAAGUACCGUGAGGGAAAGUUGAAAAGAACUUUGAAGAGAGAGUUCAAUAGUGCGUGAAUCCGCUUAGAGGUAAACGGGUAGAGCUGAAGUUGGAUUAGAUGGUUGAUACUUUUUCUUGGUGUCAUCUUAAUGCUAUGAUGUAUCUCUGCUUCAGGAGACCAUAGUGUUAAACAAUGGUGUGCCUAAGAAUUAGUUGUUUUCCUCUAGUCUUCACCACGAUCAGUGAUUUUUAUGACAAUCUAUUAUUGUGUGGAAGGUAAGGUUUGUUACCCUUUAUUGGGGCUUUCCUGUUAUAGACCACAAUAUGGAGUUGUUUAAUUACUGUGCAUGGCGACGCAAGUCUCUCCUUUAGUAGAGGCGCACAUGGUGCAUUACUUUAUUGUCACAGUGGUUUGACUCACUUCAAUGAGUUUUAUCGUUGUGUUAUUGAUAUUGUUUUUGUGCCCUCUGUGUAUUGCUGUCAACAAUCUGUGGUGUAAUGUAGGCCAUCUACCUGACCCGUCUUGAAACACGGACCAUGGAGUCUAACAUGUAUGCGAGUCAUGAGGUUUUACGAAACCUAAAGGCGCAGUGAAAGUAAAGAUGUGACUUGUGCACAUUGAGGUGGGAUUUUAUGAAAUAUGGUGUAAAAACUGUAUGGAUUAAACGCACCACCGGCUCGUCCUAUGACUUUUAGUCGGGGCGAAGCAAGAGCACCCAUGUUGGGACCCGAAAGAUGGUGAACUAUGCUUGUGUAGGUUGAAGCCAGAGGAAACUCUGGUGGAGGACCGAAGCGCUUCUGACGUGCAAAUCGAUCGUCAAACAUGAGUAUAGGGGCGAAAGACUAAUCGAACUAUCUAGUAGCUGGUUCCCUCCGAAGUUUCCCUCAGGAUAGCUGGCACUCGGGAACUAAACAGUUUUAUCCGGUAAAGCGAAUGAUUAGAAGUAUUGGGGACGAAAUGUCCUCAACUUAUUCUCAAACUUUAAAUGGGUGAGAUGAUGGUCUCUCUUAACAUGGAGUCUUGUCAUCGAAUGUGAGUGGCUAGUGGGCCAUUUUUGGUAAGCAGAACUGGCGAUGCGGGAUGAACCGAAAGUUGGGUUAAGGUGCCAAAGAAAACGCUCAUGAGAUACCACAAAAGGUGUUGGUUGAUAUAGACAGCAGGACGGUGGUCAUGGAAGUCGAAAUCCGCUAAGGAGUGUGUAACAACUCACCUGCCGAAUCAACCAGCCCUGAAAAUGGAUGGCGCUGGAGCGUUUCACCUAUACCCACCUGCAACUGCAAUACUAUUCAUUUGCUUGGAUGUAGUUGCAUGUAGGAGGGCGAGAUGAUAAGCAUUGAAGCUACGAUCGUGAGAUCGGGUGGAGCUGUCAUUUGUGCAGAUCAUGGUGGUAGUAGCAAGUAGUCAAAUGAGAACUUUGAUGACUGAAGUGGAGAAGGGUUCCA